GAAUUUAUUUCUUACUUAAUUAUCGCCCUGAUUGCAGAUUUUGGUCUGUUAUUUCACGAUUUUUUGUUGAUUACGGUGAUUUGUAUACU
ensembl:ncRNA F39B2.12 ncRNA